rnacentral:rRNA from 1 species
GACGUAGGGUGCAAGCGUUGUCCGGAUUUAUUGGGCGUAAAGAGCUCGUAGGCGGCUUGUUGCGUCGACUGUGAAAACCCGCGGCUUAACCGCGGGCUUGCAGUUGAUACGGGCAGGCUAGAGUUCGGUAGGGGAGACUGGAAUUCCUGGUGUAGCGGUGAAAUGCGCAGAUAUCAGGAGGAACACCGGUGGCGAAGGCGGCCUGCUGGGCAGUUGCUGACACUGAGGCGCGACAGCGUGGGGAGCAAACAGG